AAGACAUGCGGUGCAGACGAGAUCUGGGUUGAACGGGCAGAUUGUUUUAUUUUAUUUCUGCGUUUUACUCUUUUUGUUUUGUAUUUCUUUUUUCUACUAGAAUGCUGGGGUAUGUAUACUUGAAGAAAUAAGACGCAGACGGACAUGGAGAUGCAGACCAAGCAAAAUGUGCGUUUCUCUUUAUGAUGAACAGGUAUGUAUAUUGCUACUUAUGUUAUCCUUUUUUGUAUGCAUUUUUUCAACCUGGUGGCUGAUGUUUACAAGCACGUGUGAAUAUAUCAUGUUGUAGACAAUGCAAUGGUUUAGUGGAUGGUGCAACUAUGGUACAUGAUAUUGACUACAAGCACGUGCGUGGAUGUCUUUGUUGUAGAUUUCACAGUGGUUAGGUGGAUGCUGCAACUUGAUCCUUUUUCUGAGUAAUUCUGGAGCGUAGGAAUGUACAUUCAACUUCUGGCUAUGGUGAAAGUAAAACUAGAAGUAUAUUCGAUGAGAAACUCAGGCUAUCAAACGAGGAACCCGAACUAUCCGACAAGAAGCAGUUUCCUGUACCAUACACGAAGAAAAAUUUAGUUGAUGGAACUACAGUUGUCGUAAAAUUGCCUUGCUGGUACUAAAAAGAUGCCGAUAACCAGAGGGGCACUGGUAACCAAUAGAUGUCGCUCAUCAGAGGUGUUCUGGACCCCUUAUGUCAACAUAGUAAUCCACUGUUCUCGACAAGCAGACGACACUUGCUGCUUCUACUAGAUGACGCCAGUGGCAGAAGAAGGGACCCGAUGCCUGGAGUAACUUUGCAGUAUAAAAUUUUGAACUGUUCGAUUAGUCUAGAUAGAGUGGUUUUAGUGGAAUUCAGCCCUUGAUGGACAUAUCGUCUGUAUUUGCCCUGUCCUGGUGAUGGUAGAGAGCUCUUCCACACCUCGUGCACAUAUCAGAAUCCGCGAGGUAGGCGACGAAUUUAUUCAGGUUUAAAACGACAGGAAGACAGUGUUUUACAUUGUUGAAAGACAAAGAAAACGAAUCGAUUCCAGAACAUGCCGUCCUGUGUUUGUUGUUUUCGACAGUUGAGGGGAGAGUCCGAUGCAUGCCAGAUACUAUCUGAAAGUCGACGAAGGCGCUUGCAGUAAUUACAUACGAAGAGGGCUAUACUAUUGAAACUAUUGAAAAAUUGAUUUCGAACACUCUGGUGAGAAAUAUAUGCAGAAGAAAGAACCAAGUAUGAUAAAUCCACGACAGACCUGGCACAAGCAUAUAGCAUGACAACACUACAGCCGCCAUGACAAAAGCAUAGUUAAACAAAUUAGACAUAAGCUAACAUGUAUAUAAUUAUAUCCCAACGUACAAAGUAUAUUGGGCUAUGUUGGAGUCACGCUUGUCCAGUCCAUCCGUCCGUCCAUUUGUCCACCAUGGCCGCUAGGAUGAUUUUCAUAAAACUGACAUAAAUUAUAAACCACAUCAAGACGAUGUACAGAGUGCUCAACCUAGGUCACAAGGCCAAAGGUCAAGGUUACUCGUGGAGGUCAAAAGUCAAAUAGCUUAGCUUCAUGUCCGCUCUAUAUUAUCUAAACGGCUUUGAAAAUAUUUAGCUCGACUGUUUGAAGAAUAAGGAGGAUUACUGUACUUGCUUUGGCGUCUGUGUCAUUGUCGCCGUUGCAUUGAAAGUUAA